CAGUCGCCGCGGGAAUACGUAGGGUGCAAGCGUUAAUCGGAAUUACUGGGCGUAAAGCGUGCGCAGGCGGUUAUAUAAGUCAGAUGUGAAAUCCCCGGGCUCAACCUGGGAACUGCAUUUGAGACUGUAUGGCUAGAGUGUGUCAGAGGAGAGUGGAAUUCCACGUGUAGCAGUGAAAUGCGUAGAGAUGUGGAGGAACACCGAUGGCGAAGGCAACCUCCUGGCCUGCACUGACGCUCAUGCACGAAAGCGUGGGGAGCAAACAGGAUUAGAUACCCGCGUAGUCCCUGUCUCUUAUACA
rnacentral:rRNA from 1 species